rnacentral:rRNA from 1 species
CCUACGGGGGGCUGCAGUGGGGGAUAUUGCACAAUGGGGGGAACCCUGAUGCAGCGACGCCGCGUGGGUGAAGGAGCGUUUCGGCGCGUAAAGCCCUGUCAGCAGGGAAGAAAAUGACGGUACCUGACCAAGAAGCCCCGGCUAACUACGUGCCAGCAGCCGCGGUAAUACGUAGGGGGCAAGCGUUAUCCGGAUUUACUGGGUGUAAAGGGAGCGUAGACGGCAAGGCAAGUCUGGAGUGAAAGCCCGUGGCCCAACCACGGGACUGCUUUGGAAACUGUGUUGCUGGAGUGCAGGAGGGGUAAGCGGAAUUCCUGGUGUAGCGGUGAAAUGCGUAGAUAUUAGGAGGAACACCGGUGGCGAAGGCGGCUUACUGGACUGUAACUGACGUUGAGGCUCGAAGGCGUGGGGAGCAAACAGGAUUAGAUACCCUUGUAGUC